GCCUCCCUGCGACCGCCGAAGCCUGACGUUCCUGCGUCAGAGAUUUAUGUAGGCGGCGUGGGGAGGA
rnacentral:ncRNA from 1 species